GAGAGUAUAGCUCAGUGGUAGAGUGCAUGCUUAGCAUGCACGAGGUCCUAGGUUCAAUUCCCAGUACCUCCA
rnacentral:tRNA from 1 species